ACUUUAAUAAUUUAAUAAAAAUAUUGGUCUUGUAAACCAAAAAUGAGGCACCUCUUAAAGUA
rnacentral:tRNA from 1 species